AAAGCUUUAAGUUAAAGAAACUAUUAACCUUCAAAGUUAAAUUUAUAAUAUCAAUUUUAUAAGCUUUA
rnacentral:tRNA from 1 species